AGGGUUUGAUUAUGGCUCAGGACGAACGUUGGCGGCAUGCCUAACACAUGCAAGUCGAGCGAGUAGAUUCCCUUCGGGGAUGAAACUAGCGGCGGACGGGUGAGUAACACGUGGGCAACCUGCCUCAUAGAGGGGAAUAGCCUUCCGAAAGGGAGAUUAAUACCGCAUAAGAUUGUAGCUUCGCAUGAAGUAGCAAUUAAAGGAGCAAUCCGCUAUGAGAUGGGCCCGCGGCGCAUUAGCUAGUUGGUGAGGUAACGGCUCACCAAGGCGACGAUGCGUAGCUCGACCUGGAGAGAGGGUGAUCGGCCACAUUGAGACUGAGACACGGCCCAGACUCCUACGGGAGGCAGCAGUAGGGAAUAUUCGCACAAUCGCGCAAACCCUGAUGGCAGCAAUGCCGCGGGAGGGGAUGACGACCUUCAGCUAGGAAAGCUCAGUCUUCGGGGACGAUAAUGAACGGUACCCGAGGAGAAAGCCACGGCUAACUACGUGCAAGCAGCCGCGCUAAUACGUCAGGUGGCAAGCGUUGUCCUGGAUUUACUAGGGCGUAAUAGGGAGCGUAGGUAGACUUGUAAGUGAUGAUGUGAAAUACCCGAGCUCAAACUUGCAUGCUGCAUUUCAAACUGGAAGUCUAGAGUGCAGGAGAGGAAAAGCGGAAUUCCUAGUGUAGCGGUGAAGGCGUAGAGAUUAGGAAGAACACCAGUCGCGAAAGGCGGCUUUCUGGACUGUAACUGACACCUGAAGCUCGAAAGCGUGGGGAGCAAACAGGAUUAGAUACCCUGGUAGUCCACGCCGUAAACGAUGAAUACUAGGUGUAGGGGUUGUCAUGACCUCUGUGCCGCCGCUUACCGCAUUAAGUAUUCCGCCUGGGGAGUACGGGCCGCAAGAUUAAAACUCAAAGGAAUUGACGGGGGGCCCGCACAAGCAGCGGAGCAUGUGGGUUAAUUCUGAAGCAACGCGAAGAACCCUACCUAGACUUGACAUCUCCUGAAUUACUCCUUAAUCCAAGAAGUCCGCUCCGGCGACAGGAAGACAGGGGGGUGCAUGGGUGGUCGUCAGCUCCUGUCGUGAGAUGUUGGGUUAAGUCCCGCAACGAGCGCAACCCUUAUUGUUAGUUGCUACCAUUUAGUUGAGCAUUCUAGCGAGACUGCCCGGGUUAACCUGGAGGAAGGUGGGGAUGACGUCAAAUCAUCACGCCCCUUAUGUUUUGGGCUACACACGUGCUCCAAUGGCUGGUACAGAGGGAGGGUUAGGAGUAAUCUGGAGCGAAUCCCAAAAAGCCAGUCCCAGUUCGGAUUGGGGGCUGAAACUCGCCCCCAUGAAGUUGGAGUUGCUAGUAAUCGUGAAUCGGAAUGUCACGGAGAAUGCGUUCCCGGGUAUUGUCCACACCGCCCGUCACACCAUGGGAGUUGGGGGCACCCGAAGUCAGCGGACUAACUGAAAGGAAGUAGCUGCCGAAGGUGAAAUCAAUGACUGGGGUGAAGUCGUAACAAGGUAACC
rnacentral:rRNA from 1 species